UACGUAGGGUGCAAGCGUUAAUCGGAAUUACUGGGCGUAAAGCGUGCGUAGGUGGUGAGUUAAGUCUGUCGUGAAAGCCCCCGGGCCUCAACCUGGGAAUGGCGAUGGAUACUGGCUCGCUAGAGUGCGGUAGAGGAGAGUGGAAUUCCCGGUGUAGCAGUGAAAUGCGUAGAGAUCGGGAGGAACAUCAGUUGCGAAGGCGGCUCUCUGGACCGCACUGACACUGAGGCACGAAAGCGUGGGGGAGCAAACAGG
rnacentral:rRNA from 1 species